rnacentral:rRNA from 1 species
UACGUAGGCAGCGAGCGUUGUUCGGAGUUACUGGGCGUAAAGGGUGUGUAGGCGGUUCUUUAAGUUUGGUGUGGAAUCUCCCGGCUCAACCGGGAGGGUGCGCCGAAUACUGAGGGACUAGAGUACGGGAGAGGAAAGUGGAAUUCCUGGUGUAGCGGUGAAAUGCGUAGAUAUCAGGAGGAACACCGGUGGCGAAGGCGGGUCUCUGGGCAAUUCCUGACGCUGAGGCGCGAAAGCGUGGGGAGCAAACGGG